AUGCAGAGUAAAAAUACAUGACGGUAUUUGUUUGAUUAGGGAUAUUUCCUUCUUAACAAUUGUACAAAAAUAGAUAACGAUAAAAUUGUUGAUUAAAACUUUAUGGUCAAGUGAACUGAAUGACCAGAUCAUUGAAGUGGUUAUUCUGAGAAGGAUUUCAUGGAGAGCCUGGAACCCAGCUGAGACAGAACGGGGUAAAAAGCAUGGAUAUGGGACAGCUGUCCAGCACGGAAAACACAAUUACCAAGAAUGCAUGGACUGUGAGAGGAAAUCAAAGUGACAUGAGGAGAACAUACCAACUGCACACACAUGGCAGAGCAUGAGGAUCACAGCACAAGGUCAACCGUCGUGUGACACCCCCAGAACUGGGGGUUAAAGGCCUUGCUCAAUGUCCCAUGGACAUGUGACUGUUUUGUUGAGGCUGGGGCAUGAAUUGGCGAGUGAGACUUACCUGCUGAGACAAUCACCGCCCAAUACUAAGCUACUAAGCCAGCCCCAUAAGAAGAAUUAAAAGGUAUUACAUUCUAAUUAGUUCCAAACA